UACGUAAGUGGCGAGCGUUAUCCGGAAUUACUGGGCGUAAAGCGUGCGCAGGCGGUUCUCCAAGUCCGUUGUGAAAGCCCCGGGCUCAACCUGGGAAUGGCAGUGGAAACUAGGGGACUGGAAUCUGGCAGAGGGGGGUGGAAUGCCGCGUGUAGCAGUGAAAUGCGUAGAGAUGCGGCGGAACACCGAUGGCGAAGGCAGCCCCCUGGGCUGAGAUUGACGCUCAGGCACGAAAGCGUGGGGAGCAAACAGG
rnacentral:rRNA from 1 species